ACCUUGCAUCAGUCUGUCCAUCCAUCCAUCCAUCCAUCCAUCCAUCCAUCCAUCCAUCUUCUCAUCCACUAGUCUAUAAAAUGGAUUCACAUAUACCUUCGGGAUAGUUCUGUCUUUCACAGUCCACUUCCAUGAAUGGGGCUACCUUCCCUGUACUUCAAACCAGAGUGCUGCAGAGUGAUGCCCCAGCACGAAGUAAUUCAUCACUGUGAUCAGGGAUGAACCGGCUUCCCCAUCCCUCAGCUUUGUCAACAGUGAAGCCAUGAUUGCCAGUGGAGCGACUUGUGGCAACAUUGAAAAACUCCUCUUUCAUGGAAACUUUAUUGUAGAUGUUCUCUGGGAACUGCCGGGCUAAUUGUGUGCACCAGACAGUGGGUUCAGAGUGGCAUUUAGCACAUUGCUUUGAAGGGGAGAUGACUACUAUGUUUAAAAGGCUGGCCUAUCAGGGACCACACUCCUUUGUGGUUAGUGCUGCUCCUCACAUGAGCACCCUUUCUCCUCACAGAUCUCCCUAUGACAGAUCACAUUUAUUGCUUCAUUUUUGGUCAGCCCAGCUAUCAGCCUCAUUGCUGUAGGCAGAAUGAGCCACACAGCAGGUAUUUGUAAGUACCUACUGAAUAAACGAACUUGUGAGAGGCCCACCAGACUGUUGUGCAUUCCCGAUCUUACCAAAGGCAUCUUCUGACUGAUAUUUGCCAAUGUUAAUUUCAAAUAUAGGUAGGAAGGAAGCAUAAUUUACUGACCCAGUCAGUAAGGGUUACACAAAUACUUUUCAAAUGAAUUUAAUUAAAUCUGAAAGAGACCACAUAAAUUUUUAAGGAAAGAGCCAUAUUUAAUGCCCUGGUAUUUAAGCCCAUGGCAACCAGUAAGAUAAGUGUCAUAACAGCCAGGAAAGAGUUUCUCUCUGCCUGAUCACUAUAUCAUUAUUAAAUACUUGUUUUAAGGGUUUUGAUUUAUGGGUAUGAAUCAUAUCUGUAUCUUUUGUAAUAAUUAUUGCAUUUCUUAAUUAACAUUUUGCAGCACUGGGAGUGGAGCCUAGGGUCUCGUGAGUACUGGAGAAGAAGUCUACCAAUGAGAUAUCUUCCAAGCCGCAUUGACUUUUAAAAUAUUGGUAGAUUUCAACAUUUUAACUAAAGUCAAGUAUUUUUCUCUGACCAAGACACAAACAUCAAGGGCAUUUAGUGGCUCUGACAUGUUUCUAUAUCUCUGCUACAUUUUCUUCAAAGUAGAUACUGAAGUUAAAAUUUUAGAAUAGAGUCGCAUUACGGUCCACUUUCAAGAGGGCAGUGCCAGGUACUCUAGGCUCCUGCCCUGCUCAUACCUGUGGGUCCAUUCUGAGGAAGGUGUGGGGGCCUCUGCUACUUAGGGUUGAUCGCUUGAAGGUCUUGCUGUGGUAAAAAUGGUAGUAAUUGUCCAGGUUUCCGAUCUGCAAAACAAGAGGCGGGGGUUACUUUUCUCCAAUACCACCUUGCAGACAGCUUCAAAGUUCUCCUUCCCACAACUGCUUCCCAUUGCCCAAGGCUUCCAGUGCAAACAGCCUUCCCACCCUGCUCCCCACCUGUGUCUCUGGCACACACUCAAUGUUUAUGAACCGGAAGUUCUUUUUAGAUAAACAACCCUAGAUAAUGUUUCUGAGGAAGCACAAACUCCAUCAGCACUUACCGGUUAAUAUUGUCUAAGUUUAUACUAUUGUGGCCAAGAUUUUUAGACAUGAAUUAGUGUUUAUUUUGGGUCAAGUAUCCCUGAGGUAGCUAAGUUAGUGUCAAGUCAGGUCCUACUCCAAAAUAUCCAUUGUAAACACUCUCCUUCCUCUCCACCCCAUGGGUAAACCAAAAUCUCUAAGAAUGGACACUCACUCUCAAGUGCUUGGUGGAAGCCAAAGAAAACACACUGGUCCAUCUGCUCCGGGUUUUAAGAGGUCAGAUGAGAACAUCCAGACCCCUGGGGUGUCCCAAUUUUCUGUUAUGGGCAGUUUUUCAGGACAGAUUUCAGCCUGAGACUAGGUGGAACUAAGAAAAGCCGUGUGGUCUGAUGCCGUCUUCAAGAAAGGCUGAUGCUCGCCCCCUCCCGUCAUGUCGACUUGCCCAGUGUCUGAAGACUCCUGAGCACGAGAACAUCGCUUUCAGAGACCUGCUCAUCCUAGCUUUCACUGGCUGUAUUAAAUCACUGGUUAGCCACCAUCCUCAGAAGCGGCGUCUGAAAAUGCAGAUGGUCUGGACCCACACCUGUACUGUUCUGUGGCCCCUCUCAGCCAGCUGGGCUGCUGACACAAGGAAGGACUGAAGAUUAAGGAAGCCACCUCUGCACCCACGCACCCACGAUUUCACUUACAGAGUAAUCUGUAGUCAAUUGUGAUCCGCAAACACUUAAUGGAAAAUUCCAGCAAUAAGUAAUUUGCAUCUUAUGGACACAUUACUAUCAUUGUUCUACUCAUUACCGUUGUUCAUAUCUUACUGUGCCUAUUCUUCAAACUACACUUUAUCUAUAUAUGUAUAUGUAGGAAGAGGUAAGUAGGUGUAUCUAUUUAUAUGCAUACAUAUGAUUUAUAACUAUAUAAUGUAUGCUGUAGUAUUACCCAUCUAUACAUAUCACAUAUAUACAUGUAUAUAUGUCCUAUAUGUGUGUCCAUGUCAUAUAUACAUGAUAAGUAUAUAUCCAUAUGUACAUGAUAUCCAUUUGUACAUAUCAUGUAUAUGUAUAUACUACUGUAAUUGGCCUCUAGAGCAAUUUAGAUGUGAUGAUUUUACAUAUAGAUUUUUCAGUCACAUAAGCUUCAUUCAAACUCUUCCUACCAUUAGCCAUGUGGUUUUGAGCAAGGACAUUCAAUCCCUGUUUAUCUCAAUCCCUUCUGAGUAAAAUGGGAAAAAGAUUACUUACCCUUAUGCUAUCUUGUGUUACUGAUUCCCCUUGACUUUCACCAGGACUAAAGUUUACCCAGGAGAACACCAUCAGCUGUCCCAACAUCACAGCCAUUCUGUCUGCUCUAACUUGUGGAUGCCCAAUAGAGAUGAAGUGACAGUCCUUAGGACAGACCACAGGAUUGAGACACUGUGAGCGACCAUUUUCACAUCUUUGCACAAGAAGACAGAGUGAGUAUAAAAAGAGGCUCUGCUGGGUUCUCUGCCACCCUCAUCUUUCCUUGCCAGCCAGUCUGGCAGCCCGGCUGCUUCCUGUUCUUACAUUGAGACAGCCCUUUUUUAUUAAAAAUAUAAAGCCCCUCUACUCAGGCUUGUUCUGGCAUGUUCUGUUCUCACACACAGAAAACAUCAAGUACUGAGACAGUCAAGUGUCAACCUAUCAGAGCCGAGAGCUUAGGGCGGUGCUAACCAAUGACAGCGCUUACUGGGGGCUGGGAUUAGCUCUCAGGCUCCUUUUUGAGGCCCCUCCAUUCCUCUCUUAAGGUCUCAGAUGCUGUGGAUUUGGGAUAAAGCAGGCUGCCUGACUCUUUCUGUUGGAAAUCCUGGACUGACCCUCUCUGGGCUUUCAUUCCUCAUGAGACGUUAAGUACCAUUUUGCAAGUUGAUCGUUUCCAGAUCUGAAUGAGAGACCUAUAUGUAUAUGAGGGGACAAGCAGGGUUCCGGGUGAUUCCUAUUGCUCACUCUCUAAACAAGUGACCCAAAACUGCUAAAGUGUACCAGACCUAUAUGAACCAAAGGCGAUCAUGGAGCCUCACUGUCCAGCAGGAAUUAGUAAAUAAGUACGCCCAUGAACCAUCAUUAUCCCUGUGUGUGUGAGGGGGCAGGGUACACAACUGUUGGUCUUUUAAGUCUGAGCAUUCAAGUCAGUUCCCUUGUAGAGAAAUGGUGACAGGGGAAUGAAAUUUGAUGGUAAAUAAAUGACUCCAUGCAGAGCCACCUGCCAUCUGGGCUGGUCCUGGAGGUCAUUCGGGGCAGUACUGGCCUCUGGGUAGCUGAGACACGCCAGGGGAGCCAUGCCUUCCCUUAAAAGUUCCAAGGCCACCUGGUCCCCUUGUCUCUGGGCCACCUGAGAUCAUCUUUAGAAAUGGCCCACCAGGUCUUGGAAGACGGAAAAGAACAAAUGACCCUCACAAUACUAAUUAGGCAAAUGGUCUCUGGGGUCAGCCGUGGCCAGCACUGCACCUGUUUGUACAUAUGUCCAAGUCAGCAGGAGGGUUGAGUUCCACUGCAGAAGAGAAGGGGCCAUCAGCCAAGGAAUCCUCCUGCCCUUGCAAAGCUAGCUGCUAACACAGUGAGCUACUUCAGCAAAGCCAGGCAGCAUCUGGCCUUUGGUGCCUGGCUCCUCCUGAUUGGCAUCACGACUUCAAGGUUAUCCAUGCUGUAUUACGUGUCAGAAUUUUCUUCCAUUUUAAGGCCAAUGAACAUUGCAUUGGAUAUAUCCAUUCCCACGAUGACAGACACAGGUUACUUCCUCAUUUGGCUACUGUGAAUGCUACCGUUAUGGACGGGGUGUGCCAAUAUUUGCCCGAGUCCUGCUUUCACUUCCUUUGGGUACAUUCCUCAGGUCCUACUUCUAGAAUGACCGGACUGGUCACACCCACUUGUUUGCUUAUGUGGCCAUUUCCUGCUGCUCCUCCUUUGCUGUUUCAGCUCUUGAGUUCUCACCUGGCCCUGCCUCAGCAGCACUUACGAGGCCUGGAAACUGCUUUUUCCCUCCUCAGGCUGUGGUCAUGAAGACAGAUGACAGGAUACCAGGGUGGCAGGCCCCAGGCUUGGACAGAGUCUCUCGGGGAUGGGUCCACUCUCUGACUUCAACCAAAUGGUACCUGAGAGUGCUCUGCCCCUGACUCCUGUGACUCUGACUCUCUCCACCUCAGUUGUGCCAUUUGUAAGAGGAGGUCAUCAUAUGGGGAGACUGAGGCUCCAGUGUCACACGGUGGGGGGAGGGGAGCUCCAAAUUUCUGAAUUAGCAAUACCUCCAUUCUGUCCAAAGACCAGCAAAGAUAACUGACACUAAUUGACAUAUGAAUUCACAAGUAAGACUUGAGAUGACUGCUAUUCCCUUGGUUUAACUUCACGGUUAAACUGGCAGACACAAGACUUGUAAUAAUAUAGAAGAGUCUCCUAUCUAAGAGCCUCGGUGGAAACUUGAAGCUACCAAUAGUACCAAACCCCAUAGAUAUUAUGAUUUUCCCCUAUAUAUACAUGCUCACAAUGCAUUAAUAAAAUUAGGCAUAGCAUUUAAUAACAAACUAGAACAAACACAAUAAAUAUAAAUAUAUCUAUGAUUCUAAAGUAAUGUAAGCUAUAAAGUAUAAAGUACUUGAGAAUCUUUUAUUUAAUGUUUUUAGGCUGAGGUUGACUGUGCUUAACUACAACUAUCAGAUGUGAGCCCUCAGAUAAUGAGGGACUCCUAUGGACAGAAAAGGCAGAAGAAGGCAGCAAAAAUCCUUUUCUGGAAGAAAAUCGGUGCUGGGGACAGAACAGAGUCUCAUACAUGCUAAGCAUGUACCAUAGAGCUUCACGCCCAGUCUAGAAAUGUCCUUAUCCUGAUUUGACACUCAUUCAUAUUAACACAGAUGCUUGGCUGUCUGGCUGUCCAUCCUGGGCUGCAGUCGCUGGGCCACGGCCUGGGAUAGUCUAUGCCAGACACUGGCUCUGCUCCUACGGUCAGUGUCCACAACCCUGCACACCCAUUUUUCAAGCUUGUCUCCGAAUAGCCCCUUGUUACAGAGAUAGAUACACAGGGUGCCACAAAUACUUCCAUGCACAAGCCGGGGGCAGCUUCACUCCCCUUCCCUUUGGGGGGACAGGAGGAGCUAGCCCCAUCAGACUUACGGCCUUCCUGUCUGAUCCCAUUCUACCUUUCCCAAGCCUCUGUCUGUUCUUUAUCAGCAACGCUGCCUGCUGCAGUGUAAGGCACUGUUUCCUAAAUCCUAACAUAAAACUUCAAUAUGUUCUGUUUUCCUUUCUUGCCCACGGUAUUUUCACAAUGUCUUCAUCGGAAUCUGUCUCUGAGAGCACUAUCCAAUAAAAGUUUGCCGAAUAUCAAA